rnacentral:rRNA from 1 species
UACGGAGGGUGCAAACGUUGCUCGGAAUCAUUGGGCGUAAAGCGCACGUAGGCGGCUAUGUAAGUCGGGUGUGAAAGCCCUCGGCUCAACCGAGGAAGUGCAUUCGAAACUGCAUGGCUUGAGUAUCGGAGAGGAAAGCAGAAUUCCGGGUGUAGCGGUGAAAUGCGUAGAUAUCCGGAGGAAUACCAGUGGCGAAGGCGGCUUUCUGGCCUGAUUCUGACGCUGAGGAGCGAAAGCCAGGGGAGCGAACGGG